rnacentral:tRNA from 1 species
GGAGGUAUGGCUCAGUGGUAGAGCGCGUGCUUAGCAUGCACGAGGUCCUGGGUUCCAUCCCCAGUACCUCCG